GGCUCAGGAUGAACGCUGGCGGCGUGCCUAAUACAUGCAAGUCGAACGAGGACAAAUAGAUCUUCGGAUUUAUGGAAUCCUAGUGGCGAACGGGUGAGUAACGCGUUGGUGACCUGCCCCGAAGAGGGGGAUAACAGUUCGAAAGGACUGCUAAUACCCCAUAAGCUCACGAGAGUUAGAGGUCUAGUGAGAAAAGGAGUAAUCCGCUUCGGGAGGGGCCUGCGUCCCAUCAGCUAGUUGGUAGGGUAAAAGCCUACCAAGGCGAUGACGGGUAGGGGACCUGAGAGGGUGGCCCCCCACAAUGGAACUGAAACACGGUCCAUACACCUACGGGUGGCAGCAGUAGGGAAUAUUGCUUAAUGGGCGAAAGCCUGAAGCAGCAACGCCGCGUGUACGAUGAAGGCCUUCGGGUUGUAAAGUACUUUUUGUAGGGAUGAGGAAGGACAGUACCUGCAGAAUAAGCCUCGGCUAACUACGUGCCAGCAGCCGCGGUAAAACGUAGGAGGCGAGCGUUAUCCGGAUUUACUGGGCGUAAAGCGCGUGUAGGCGGAUUGGUAAGUUAGCUGUGAAAGCUCCCGGCUUAACUGGGAGAGGUCGGUUAAUACUGUCAGUCUAGAGUAUGUGAGAGGGAAGUGGAAUUCCGGGUGUAGUGGUGAAAUGCGUAGAUAUCCGGAGGAACACCAGAGGCGAAAGCGGCUUCCUGGCACAUUACUGACGCUCAGACGCGAAAGCUAGGGGAGCAAACGGGAUUAGAGACCCCGGUAGUCCUAGCUGUAAACGAUGUAGACUUGGCGUUGGUGGGGUCAAACCCAUCAGUGCCGGAGCUAACGCA
rnacentral:rRNA from 1 species